rnacentral:lncRNA from 1 species
UUUUGUUCAGUUGCGAAGUUCACUAUUUUUGAUCAAUGAAUUAAUAUCUAAAAAUUAACUCUGCAGGGAUGUGAUGGUUCGGUAUUGCUUGAUGGAUCGGCGAGUGGUCCAAGCGAGCAGGACGCCCCUCCCAACCUGACCUUGAGAGCAAAGGCGUUUGAGAUCAUCGAAGACCUACGCCGGCGCGUGGAAAAGGCUUGCGGCCUUGUCGUCUCCUGUUCUGAUAUUCUUGCGCUUGCAGCCCGUGACUCUGUUUACCUGGUGAGUCGACUUGAAUCACUCUCUGUUAUCGUAGUUUUUGAUAAUGAUCCUAGCUAGCUAGCAUGGAGCACAUGAUUUAAUACCAUCUCCUGUAUCGUUAGAUACACAUCCGUAUAUAGUCCAGCCAUAUUCUUGAGAGUCGAGUCUAAAUCGAGAUUUUUUUUUUGAAAAAUAGCUUUUUUCCAUAUUUUUUUUUGAAAAAGUAGAGUAAUUGAUUUUUUUCCCCAAAAAAUAGCACACUUAAUAAAUUAAUUUGAAAACAAUGUAAUUAAUUAUCUUUCUUUAGGAAAUAUAGGAAUGAGAUUUGGGUUCAUUGAUUUUAAUAAUAUUAUUAAAAAUUAGCCUAGUUAUGGCUCUUGUUAGAUGUCAAGUAACUUAUUUUUAUAACAUAAAAAUAAUAUAUUGAGAAAUUAAACGUUCAGUAUAAAGCUUAGAUUUUUAAAAUAAAAUUGAAUUUUAAUUAUCCAAAUUUAUUAUGGUAUUUCAGGAAUAAGUGUUAAAUAAUUAAUUGCACAUGAAAUAAUUACAAAUAGAAGAUUACGAGUAAGUCAAGUCUUUCUGUCCCCCAUAUAAUAUAUGUCCUGCAACUAGGGGCAUAAAAUGUGACUGAUAAGACCAGAUAAGCUUAUCCAAUGUUAUUUUCAGAGCUUAGAUAUCCGCCUGUCGAUUUCUAUCCAGUUAGUUGAUCAGUGAUUGCGAGAGGCAAAUUAAUUCCUCAUAAUCUUUUAAAAUCCUAUUAAUUCUCGUUUGGUUCUGUAUUUUAAAAACAUUUUUAAAAUUUUUUUUUUUUUUUUAUUUUAAAUUAAUAUUUUUUUAGUAUUUUCCGUUUAUUUUGAUGGAUUGAUGUUAAAAAUAAUUUUUAACAAAUAAAAAUAAUAAUUUUUUAAUACUUUUUUAAGUGAAAAACAAUCAUACUCUCAAACACACUAAAUAUUAUAAUUAGUAGCGAUUGUUUAUUUAAAUAUUUUUUACUUAAAAAUAUAUUAAAAUAAUAUUUUUUUAAAUUUAUUUUGACUUUAAUAUUAAUAUAUUAAAAUAAUCUAAAAAUACUUAAAAAAAAAUACUCUUUCCCAGCAAAAUUAUUAUUAUGACUUUCUUGUGACUUGUCAUGAUCAUUAAACACAUAUAAAGGGUGUGUAUAUGCAUGCCUCCUUGAGUUCUGCUUUUUUAUUUUCAAAUUAAGUUUUAGAUAUUUUUAUGUUGAUAAUAAUUUUUUUAUUCUUUUUUUUUUUAAAAAAACAUUUUGUAUCACAUUCUCCGUGUGUGUGUAAUGAAUCAAUAAAAUUUCUUUCGGUAACAAGUCAUUACUCAUAACCAAAGCUAAUCCUUUUUAACUUCUAUGCAUUUUUUCUACUGCAGUCUGGUGGCCCAGAUUAUAAUGUUCCCUUGGGAAGGCGAGACGGUCUAAAAUUUGCAACUCAAAAUGAAACCUUAGACAACCUCCCGCCACCCUUUGCUAACGCCGACACAAUUCUCUCAUCUCUCGCCACCAAGGGCUUCGAUGCCACCGACGUGGUAGCCCUGUCCGGUGGCCACACCAUUGGUAUAAGUCACUGCAGCUCUUUCACUGACCGCCUCUAUCCAACCCAAGAUCCUACAAUGGACAAAACCUUUGCCAACAAUCUCAAGGAAGUUUGCCCCACAAGAGACUUCAAUAACACAACCGUGUUGGAUAUUCGAUCUCCUAAUAAAUUUGACAACAAGUA